rnacentral:rRNA from 1 species
UACGUAGGGGGCAAGCGUUGUCCGGAAUCAUUGGGCGUAAAGAGCGUGUAGGCGGCCCGAUAAGUCCGCCGUGAAAGUCCAGGGCUCAACCCUGGAAUGCCGGUGGAAACUGUCGGGCUGGAGUCCGGAAGAGGCGAGUGGAAUUCCUGGUGUAGCGGUGGAAUGCGUAGAGAUCGGGAGGAACACCAGUGGCGAAGGCGGCCCCCUGGGCCGGGCCUGACGCUGAGACGCGAAAGCGCGGGGAGCGAACGGG